rnacentral:rRNA from 1 species
UACGUAGGGUCCGAGCGUUGUCCGGAAUUAUUGGGCGUAAAGGGCUCGUAGGCGGUUCGUCACGUCGGGAGUGAAAACUCGGGGCUUAACCCCGAGCCUGCUUCCGAUACGGGCAGACUAGAGGUAGGCAGGGGAGAGCGGAACUCCUGGUGUAGCGGUGGAAUGCGCAGAUAUCAGGAAGAACACCGGUGGCGAAGGCGGCUCUCUGGGCCUACCUGACGCUGAGGAGCGAAAGCGUGGGGAGCGAACAGG